rnacentral:rRNA from 1 species
GAUGAACGCUGGCGGCGUGCCUAAUACAUGCAAGUCGAGCGAACGGACGAGAAGCUUGCUUCUCUGAUGUUAGCGGCGGACGGGUGAGUAACACGUGGAUAACCUACCUAUAAGACUGGGAUAACUUCGGGAAACCGUAGCUAAUACCGGAUAAUAUUUUGAACCGCAUGGUUCAAAAGUGAAAGACGGUCUUGCUGUCACUUAUAGAUGGAUCCGCGCUGCAUUAGCUAGUUGGUAAGGUAACGGCUUACCAAGGCAACGAUGCAUAGCCGACCUGAGAGGGUGAUCGGCCACAAUGGAACUGAGACACGGUCCAGACUCCUAAGGGAGGCAGCAGUAGGGAAUCUUCCGCAAUGGGCGAAAGCCUGACGGAGCAACGCCGCGUGAGUGAUGAAGGUCUUCGGAUCGUAAAACUCUGUUAUUAGGGAAGAACAUAUGUGUAAGUAACUGUGCACAUCUUGACGGUACCUAAUCAGAAAGCCACGGCUAACUACGUG